rnacentral:rRNA from 1 species
GUGUCAGCCGCCGCGGUAAUACAGAGGCCUCGAGCGUUAAUCGGAAUCACUGGGCUUAAAGCGUGCGUAGGCGGACGUGCAAGCAUGUUGUGAAAUCCCAUGGCUCAACCAUGGAACUGCUUCGUGAACUGCACGUCUUGAGACAAGUAGGGGCGGUCGGAACGAUAGGUGGAGCGGUGAAAUGCGUAGAUAUCUAUCGGAACGCCGAAGGAGAAGUCAGGCCGCUGGGCUUGUUCUGACGCUGAGGUACGAAAGCGUGGGGAGCAAACGGGAUUAGAUACCCGUGUAGUCC